CCUACGGGUGGCAGCAGUGCGGAAUAUUGGUCAAUGGGCGUAAGCCUGAACCAGCCAAGUCGCGUGAGGGAUGAAGGUUCUAUGGGUCGUAAACCUCUUUUAUCAGGGAAUAAAGUUCGGGACGUGUCCCGUUUUGUAUGUACCUUAUAGAUAAAGAUCGGCUAAAUCCGGGCCAGCCGCCGCUGUAAUACGGAGGUACCUAGCGUUAUCCGGGUUUAUUGGGUUUCACGGGUGUGUAGGCGGCCCUUUAAGUCAGCGGUGAAAGUCUGGGGCCCAAACCUAGACUUGCCGUUGAAACUGGGAGGCUUGAGUAUGUUAGAGGAAGGCGGAAUGCGUGGUGUAGCGGUGAAAUGCUUAGAUAUCACGCAGAACCCCGAUUGCGAAGGCAGCCUGCCAAGCCAUGACUGACGCUGAUGCACGAAAGCGUGGGGAUCAAACAGGAUUAGAUACCCGAGUAGUC
rnacentral:rRNA from 1 species